GUCGCUUCUCGGCCUUUUGGCUAAGAUCAAGUGUAGCAAUAUUCCCAUUCUUGAAUCUUCUAGGUAAAAAAAUCACCCUAAAAACAAGUAUUUGUUGUUUGUUAAAAAGAGAAGAAUGAAAAAAAUAUCUGUAUAUAUAACCUUUGAAUGGAAGAUUGGAAGCAGGCUUCUUCCUUUCCUUCCUUUCCCUUU